rnacentral:rRNA from 1 species
CAGUCGCCGCGGGAAUACGUAGGGUGCGAGCGUUAGUCGGAAUUACUGGGCGUAAAGCAUGCGCAGGCGGUUGUGUAAGACAGGUGUGAAAUCCCCGGGCUUAACCUGGGAACUGCGCUUGUGACUGCACAGCUAGAGUAUGGCAGAGGGGGGUGGAAUUCCACGUGUAGCAGUGAAAUGCGUAGAGAUGUGGAGGAACACCGAUGGCGAAGGCAGCCCCCUGGGCCAAUACUGACGCUCAUGCACGAAAGCGUGGGGAGCAAACAGGAUUAGAUACCCGAGUAGUCCCUGUCUCUUAUAA